rnacentral:pre_miRNA from 1 species
AGUAAGAUCAUUUUUAAGUUUUUUGAUAUAAUGUUUUAACUCUUCAUGUUAUUUGAAUUUUUUUGUGAUUAAUAUUUUAUUCUUACAUGAUAAAACAUGAAUAGUACUUUAUGCGUGACUAAUUUUUUAAAGUUUUUUACAAAAUUUUAAAUAAGAUAAAUAGUCAAACGUUGAGAACGGAAAAAC